GACGAACGCUGGCGGCGUGCCUAAUACAUGCAAGUAGGACGCCGUUUCGAACGGGUGAGUAACGCGUAGGUAACUGCCUUUUAGAGGGGGAUAACUAUUGGAAACGAUAGCUAAUACCGCAUACUCGCCGAUGGACAUGUGUUUUAUUAGCUAGUAGGUAGGGUAAUGGCCUACCUCGGCAACGACACAUAGCCGACCGGAGAAGGUGAGAGGCCACAAUGGAACUGAGACACGGGCCACAAUCCUAAGGGAGGCAGCAGUAGGGAAUCUUCGGCAAUGGGGGGAACCCUGACCGAGCAACGCGGAGUGAAUGAAGAAGGUUUUCGGAUCGUAAAGCUCGGUUGUUAAGGAAGCGGUACGUAACCAGAAAGGGACGGCUAACUACGUGCCAGCAGCCGCGGUAAUUC
rnacentral:rRNA from 1 species